rnacentral:tRNA from 2 species
GACCCCUUCAUCUAGUGGCCAAGGAUACCACCCUUUCACGGUGGCUACAGGAGUUCAAAUCUCCUAGGGGUCGCCA